rnacentral:rRNA from 1 species
UACGUAGGUGGCAAGCGUUAUCCGGAUUUACUGGGUGUAAAGGGCGUGUAGGCGGGAAAGCAAGUCAGAUGUGAAAACUCAGGGCUCAACCCUGAGCCUGCAUUUGAAACUGUGUUUCUUGAGUGCUGGAGAGGCAAUCGGAAUUCCGUGUGUAGCGGUGAAAUGCGUAGAUAUACGGAGGAACACCAGUGGCGAAGGCGGAUUGCUGGACAGUAACUGACGCUGAGGCGCGAAAGCGUGGGGAGCAAACAGG